GCUGUGAUGGCCGAGUGGUUAAGGCGUUGGACUCGAAAUCCAAUGGGAUCUUCCCGCGUAGGUUCAAAUCCUACUCACAGCG
rnacentral:tRNA from 1 species